GUCUAGGGCCAGACCGCCCUGAACGAGCCCGAUCUCGUCUGAUGUCAGGAGCUAAGCAGGGUCAGGCCUGGUUGGUACUCGGAUGGGCGAGGUCGCAGGGAAUGUGGAGUCACA
rnacentral:rRNA from 1 species